rnacentral:rRNA from 1 species
AACGAACGCUGGCGGCAGGCCUAACACAUGCAAGUCGAGCGGAAGCUUCGGGGUUGGCGGCGGACGGGGGAGUAACGCGUGGGAACGUGCACGUAGCUUCGGGAUAGCACUGGGAAACUGGGGGUAAUACCGGGUAAGCCACGCUGGGAAAAGAUUCAACGUCGAGGGUUAGGCCCGCGUUGGUCUAGGUAGGUGGGGGGGGAAUGGCCUACCAAGCCGUCGUUCCCUAGCGGGGUUGAGAGGCUGAUACGCCACUCUGGGGCUGGGACACGGGCCAGACUCCUGCGGGAGGCAGCCGUGGGGAAUCCUAGCCAAUGGGGGAAACCCUGAUCUAGCCAUGCCGCGUGAGCGAUUAAGGCCUUAGGGUUGUAAAGCUCUUUCACCGCGGAAGAUAAUGACGGUACCCGGAGAAGAAGCCCCGGCUAACUCCGUG